CCUACGGGGUGCAGCAGUGAGGAAUAUUGGUCAAUGGACGGAAGUCUGAACCAGCCAUGCCGCGUGCAGGAAGACGGCUCUAUGAGUUGUAAACUGCUUUUGUACAAGGGUAAACCUGAAUACGUGUAUUCAGCUGAAAGUACUGUACGAAUAAGGAUCGGCUAACUCCGUGCCAGCAGGCGCGGUAAUACGGAGGAUCCAAGCGUUAUUCGGAUUUAUUGGGGUUAAAGGGUGCGUAGGCGGAUUGAUAAGUUAGAGGUGAAAUGUCCGAGCUUAACUCGGGAACUGCCUCUAAUACUGGUGGUCUAGAGAGUAGAUGCGGUAGGCGGAAUGUAUGGUGUAGCGGUGAAAUGCUUAGAGAUCAUACAGAACACCGAUUGCGAAGGCAGCUUACCAAUCUAUAUCUGACGUUGAGGCACGAAAGCGUGGGGAGCAAACAGGAUUAGAUACCCCUGUAGUC
rnacentral:rRNA from 1 species